GAUGAACGCUGGCGGCGUGCCUAAUACAUGCAAGUCGAGCGAACAGACGAGGAGCUUGCUCCUCUGACGUUAGCGGCGGACGGGUGAGUAACACGUGGAUAACCUACCUAUAAGACUGGGAUAACUUCGGGAAACCGGAGCUAAUACCGGAUAAUAUAUUGAACCGCAUGGUUCAAUAGUGAAAGACGGUUUUGCUGUCUCUUAUAGAUGGAUCCGCGCCGCAUUAGCUAGUUGGUAAGGUAACGGCUUACCAAGGCAACGAUGCGUAGCCGACCUGCGAGGGUGAUCGGCCACACGGGAACUGAGACACGGUCCAGACUCCUACGGGAGGCAGCAGUAGGGAAUCUUCCGCAAUGGGCGAAAGCCUGACGGAGCAACGCCGCGUGAGUGAUGAAGGUCUUCGGAUCGUAAAACUCUGUUAUUAGGGAAGAACAAAUGUGUAAGUAACUAUGCACGUCUUGACGGUACCUAAUCAGAAAGCCACGGCUAACUACGUG
rnacentral:rRNA from 1 species